rnacentral:rRNA from 1 species
CACGUAGUUAGCCGGGGGCUUCUUAGUCAGGUACCGUCAUUUUCUUCCCUGCUGAUAGAGCUUUACAUACCGAAAUACUUCUUCACUCACGCGGCGUCGCUGGAUCAGGGUUUCCCCCAUUGUCCAAUAUUCCCCACUGCUGCCUCCCGUAGGAGUUUGGGCCGUGUCUCAGUCCCAAUGUGGCCGUUCACCCUCUCAGGCCGGCUACCGAUCGUCGCCUUGGUGGGCCUUUACCUCACCAACUAGCUAAUCGGACGCGGAUCCAUCUUAUACCUAUAAAUAUUUUACCCCUGCACCAUGCGGUGCUGUGGUCUUAUGCGGUCUUAGCGGAAAUUUCUCUCCGUUAUCCCCCUGUACUAAGGCAGGUUAUCCACGCGUUACUCACCCGUCCGCCACUAAGUCUACCUAAAUUCCAUCCGAAAACUUCCUCCAGGCAGCUUCGUUCGACUUGCAUGUGUUAAGCACGCCGCCAGCGUUCAUCCUGAGCCAGGAUCAAACUCU